GGAGGAAAAGAAACCAACAGGGAUUGCCUCAGUAACGGCGAGUGAAGCGGCAAAAGCUCAAAUUUGAAAUCUAGCACCUUCGGUGUUCGAGUUGUAAUUUGAAGAUGGUAACCUUGGGUUUGGCUCUUGUCUAUGUUCCUUGGAACAGGACGUCAUAGAGGGUGAGAAUCCCGUCUGAUGAGAUGCCCAUUCCUAUGUAAGGUGCUAUCGAAGAGUCGAGUUGUUUGGGAAUGCAGCUCUAAGUGGGUGGUAAAUUCCAUCUAAAGCUAAAUAUUGGCGAGAGACCGAUAGCGAACAAGUACAGUGAUGGAAAGAUGAAAAGAACUUUGAAAAGAGAGUGAAAAAGUACGUGAAAUUGUUGAAAGGGAAGGGCAUUAGAUCAGACUUGGUGUUUUACGAUUAUCUUCUCUUCUUGAGUUGUGCACUCGUAUUUCACUGGGCCAGCAUCGAUUCGGAUGGCAAGAUAAUGGCAGUUGAAUGUGGCUUCACUUCGGUGGAGUGUUAUAGCUUCUGCUGAUAUUGCCUGUCUGGAUCGAGGGCUGCGUCUUUUGACUAGGAUGCUGGCGUAAUGAUCUAAUGCCGCCCG
rnacentral:rRNA from 1 species